rnacentral:tRNA from 1 species
GGGAUUUCAAAGGGACUGACGCCGCAAUACAAAGGGACUCAUAAUCCCUUGGUCGCAGGCUCGAGUCCUGCUGGGCCCACCA